rnacentral:rRNA from 1 species
UGAAUACGAGAUGCUACGGCGUCGAAGCAGUCUAUGUCAUACUUCCAAGAAAAGCUCGCACUGUCAUAAACAAAUAAUGCCUGUACCAUAACCGACACAGGUGGGUAGGUAGAGUAUACUAAGGGGCGCGAGAUAACUCUCUCUAAGGAACUCGGCAAAAUGACUCCGUAACUUCGGGAGAAGGAGUGCCUUAUUUAUAAGGUUGCAAUAACAAGAUCCAAGCAACUGUUUAUCAAAAACACAGGUCUCCGCUAAGUCGUAAGACGAUGUAUGGGGGCUGACGCCUGCCCAGUGCCAGAAGGUUAAAGAAGUUGGUUAGCAUUCGCGAAGCUGAUAACUGAAGCCCUGGUGAACGGCGGCCGUAACAAUAACGGUCCUAAGGUAGCGAAAUUCCUUGUCGGGUAAGUUCCGACCCGCACGAAAGGCGUAAUGAUUUGGAUACUGUCUCGGAGAGGGGCUCGGUGAAAUAGACUUGUCUGUGAAGAUGCGGACUACCUGCACCAGGACAGAAAGACCCUAUGAAGCUUUACUGUAACUUGAGAUUGAAAUUGGACUUUACUUGCGCAGUAUAGGUGGGAGGCGUUGAUAAUAUUCUUGCGGGAUUAUUUGAGCCAUCAGUGAGAUACCACUCUUGUAAUGUUAGAUUUCUAACUUUGUAUCAUUAUCUGGUCAAAGGACAGUUUCAGGCGGGCAGUUUGACUGGGGCGGUCGCCUCCUAAACGGUAACGGAGGCGCACAAAGGUUUCCUCUGAACGGGUAGAAAUCGUAUCUAGAGUGUAAAGGCAUAAGGAAGCUUGACUGUGAGACCUACAAGUCGAGCAGGGACGAAAGUCGGUCUUAGUGAUCUGACGGUGCUGAGUGGAAAGGCCGUCACUCAACGGAUAAAAGUUACUCUAGGGAUAUCAGGCUGAUCUCCCCCAAGAGUUCACAUCGACGGGGAGGUUUGGCACCUCGAUGUCGGCUCAUCGCAUCCUGGGGCGGUAGUACGUCCCAAGGGUUGGGCUGUUCGCCCAUGAAAGCGGUACGCGAGCUGGGUUCAGAACGUCGUGAGACAGUUCGGUCCAUAUCCGGUGUAGGCGUUAGAAUAUUGAGAGGAGCCUUCUUUAGUACGAGAGGACCGAGAAGGACAUACCUCUGGUGUACCAGUUAUCGUGCCAACGGUAAACGCUGGGUAGCUAUGUAUGGAGUGGAUAACCGCUGAAAGCAUCUAAGUGGGAAGCCCACCUCAAGAUAAGUAUUCUG